AUGGUCACCCCGCUGCGCGUCAUGGCGCCUGGGGACAUGGAGCCCUCGCCAGAGGGAGCCAGCGGCGACCAGCCAGGGCUGGGGGGAAGCGACGACGUCAUCAUCCUGGAGAGGGCGCCGGUGCCGACCCCGCCAACUGGGGCGGCUCAAGGCGGCCGGCCUGAUCCGCCGCCUGCACAGUCGGCGGGGGGCGAGCCGGCUGCGAGGGCUGAGAUGGCGGUCCGGAUUCCGUCGAGCCGGCGCGCGGGGAAGGCCGCGUCGGAGCCACAGAAGGCCGCGUCGGAGCCGCAGCCGGCCGUGGGCUCCAGCUCGUCGGCCCGGGAUGCGGAGGCGGCCAGCGCUACCUCGGGGUGGACGCCAGGCGGAGGGACGGUCGUGGUGAACGUGGCUGCACAGGACGUCCGGACCCGGCUCCAGGGCCAAGCUGCGGCGCUGAGGCAGUUCACCGACGAGUUCCUCGCGACGCGGGCGGCCAUCCGGGUUAGUAUUCCCAUCUUGCUUCUUCUUGAUUUUGAUUUCUUCUUGAUCUCGAUUUCUUCUUGA
rnacentral:rRNA from 1 species